AAUGUAUUCAAAUUCUCCUGAUCAGACACACCACUUGAACAUUUCUCUCCUGAUGGUUACUGUGCUGCAAUUUCUGCCUUUGAGCUGAAGGAAGGUUUGACCAAGUCUGAUGUUUCUGAGCCUGACAUCAUCGAGCAAAGUGGCUGUACUACUGGAAAUGGAAGCACCGGGAGUCCCUGACAGAGGAUCGAGGAGACACCGGUGCUCAGGAAACAGCCAUGAAGAAAACUGUUUCUACUGAAGUUGCUCAGAUGCUUGAAUAAAUUUAAAUAUAAAA